AGAUGUGAAUCAUCGAAUCUUUAGAACGCACAUUGCGCCCUCUGGUAUUCCAGGGGGCAUGCCUGUUUGAGCGUCAUUUCUCUCUCAAACCUUUGGGUUUGGUAGUGAGUGAUACUCGUCUCGGGUUAACUUGAAAGUGGCUAGCCGUUGCCAUCUGCGUGAGCAGGGCUGCGUGUCAAGUCUAUGGACUCGACUCUUGCACAUCUACGUCUUAGGUUUGCGCCAAUUCGUGGUAAGCUUGGGUCAUAGAGACUCAUAGGUGUUAUAAAGACUCGCUGGUGUUUGUCUCCUUGAGGCAUACGGCUUUAACCAAAACUCUCAAAGUUUGACCUCAAAUCAGGUAGGAGUACCCGCUGAACUUAAGCUUAUCAAUAAGCGGAGGAAUC
rnacentral:rRNA from 1 species